UGGGGAAUAUUGCACAAUGGGCGCAAGCCUGAUGCAGCCAUGCCGCGUGUAUGAAGAAGGCCUUCGGGUUGUAAAGUACUUUCAGCGGGGAGGAAGGGAGUAAAGUUAAUACCUUUACUCAUUGACGUUACCCGCAGAAGAAGCACCGGCUAACUCCGUGCCAGCAGCCGCGGUAAUACGGAGGGUGCAAGCAUUAAUCGGAAUUACUGGGCGUAAAGCGCACGCAGGCGGUUUGUUAAGUCAGAUGUGAAAUCCCCGGGCUCAACCUGGGAACUGCAUCUGAAACUGGCAAGCUUGAGUCUCGUAGAGGGGGGUAGAAUUCCAGGUGUAGCGGUGAAAUGCGUAGAGAUCUGGAGGAAUACCGGUGGCGAAGGCGGCCCCCUGGACGAAGACUGACGCUCAGGUGCGAAAGCGUGGGGAGCAAACAGG
rnacentral:rRNA from 1 species